GAAGUAAUAUUGUGGAUUUUUGUAUUUUAAAGGGACUGUCAUUGUUUUUUUAAGUGACACACCAUUUAAAAAAAAAGAGGAGCAUGUUCGAUCCCCUUCAAACCCUUCAAACCUUACCUGAUCACUAACGUAUUUAAUUCUGAAGAGAAUACUCAAUUGUUUCCGAAGCAAGAAAUCCGCCUCUUUCAUUGAGAAAUGACAAUUGAAAAUAAUCAUACUUCAAAGUAAAAAAACAUGGAUAUCUAAUAGAUUCCUAAUCAAACAAGGCUAUAAGUGACCGGUUUGAAUUGAACAUGCUUAUAUAAAUGGGCAAUACCUUAACACUAAGUUAACAAAAUUUUUAUUACUUUUAUUUAUUUUCAGCCUUUUUAGGAAAUUUUUGUUUUUUAUGAUUAUUUAAUUUCGGGAUUUAGUUUUACGUUGGCUAGAAAAUUGUGUUUUUUUUUAUCUAUUUAGUAUUAUCAUUUGCACUUCCACGUUCCAAAAUAUCACAAUUAAUCUAUUUUAAUUUUCUGUCGAAAUAACAUUACCCGGGCCAUAAUAUUGCUAAUACAAAUAAUUCACGAAAUUGUAAUUGUUAUCACGCAUAAGUUUGAAAACUAAUACAGGAACUAAUACAGGAACUAAUACAGGAACUAAUACAGGAACUAAUACAGGAACUAAUACAGGAAUCAAUACAGGAACUAAUACAGGAACGAACUAAUGCAGGAACUAAUACAGGAACUAAUACAGGAACUAAUACAGAAACUAAUACAGACUAAUACAGGAACUAAUACAGGAACUAAUACAGGAACUAAUACAGGAACUAAUACAGGAACUAAUACAGUGGAACCCAUAAAAUUCUGGAAGACCCUAGUUAUGAUCAUGGAACAUUGCAAUUGAUGGAGUGCACUGAAACUUAGAGUUUCCAUUAUUCCGGGGGGGAAAUCCAUUUUAGAAAGAUCCGGAAAAGCCGGAAUUUAAAGAAAAUUUCAAACAAAAUCGAAACCGGAAAAAACGGAACAUUAUUCCGGAACAGGGUUCCGGAAAUUCCGGUUAGAAGAGAAAAAAUGGCCCUGAAAUGAAUUCGGAAUUCCAUAAUAUUUUCCAUAAAGGAAAUGUAAAAAAA